CCUGCGAGGUGUGGUCCUGGGCCUCUGGGCCCACCUGCUGAGUCUGCUUUGGCUCCCAGUGUCAGAACUGGAAUGCUGGGAGUAACCCGGCUCCGUCUAGCCCCAGAGGAGCUGCCACCGAGGCCUGUCAGGUGUGGAGAGUUUUUUCCAACGACUGGCUUCAUAGGCCCCACUGGAGACCGUUUUGGCAUUUGAGCCCCAGGUCCUGUGUAUCUUACGUCAGCCCCAGUGUUGAGGAUGCCAGGGGCCCUGUACCUCUGAAGCCCCUUCUGCCUGCCCUGCAGCAGUUGCAGCUCCUGGGCCGGUUCUGCCAGGAGCAGGGGAUCCCGUUCCCACCCAUCUCGCCCAGCCCCGAAGAGCAGCUCCAGCCUCGGGAGUGCCACACCUUCUCCGACCCCACCUGCCCCGGAGCCCCUGCGGUGCUGCACUUUCCUCUGGUCAGCGACUCCUUCCGGGAGUACUCGGCCCCUGGGGUCCGGCGGCCACCCGAGGAGGCGGCAGCUGGGGAGGUGAACCUGUCUUCAUCGGACUCUCCCUACCACUACACGAAGGUGACCUACAGCCAGGAGGACGUGGACAAGUUCCUGCACCUGACACAUUACAAUGUCUGCAACAACCAGGAGCAGCUGCUGGAGGCUCUGCGCCAGGCAGUGCAGCGGAGGCGGCAGCGCAGGCCCCACUGAUAGUUAAGGGUGGCAGGGGCCCCGGCCAACUCUCAUUCAUUCCUUGGCUGCUGAGUUGCAGACAGGAAUGCAGGGGGAGGCCAGGCAAUGGCUGUUUCCUGCCACAUGGGUAUGGCCACCCCAGAAUCUUCUCCAAACAAACAAACACUGGUGCCCCUGCCCUCCCCUGGACCAGCCAGCCUCCUAGAAUAAGCGUGGGAGUGGAUUCCAGAGCUGACAGGCGCUGCGGCAGCGACCACAGUGACGGGACUGGGAGCAGAUGGUUACACUGGAGACCACAGCCGUGGCUGCCACCCCUCAUGGUAUGAGCCCUCCAGGCACACGGCUGUAUAUGCGUGUGCACGUCUAGGCACAUCCUGGCAUGGGGCCUAUGCACGGAGGAUUUGCCUGUCUCCAGUCCCUCCUCCACUUUCACCUAACCUCAGGUGUCCCCUCCCCCUGGAGAGCCUGAAGCCCUCUGGUUUGGAAGGGAAGGACAUGUGGGUGAGGGGGGUUGAGCAUCGAAAUGAUGCUGGGAUCUACAAGGAGGGACUGAGGAGCCAGGUAAGAGCCUCCUGCCCCCGCACAUCCACCUUCGCAUCUCCUCCCUGGCCUGCAGGCCGGGACGUGCUGGCCCUCUCCAUUGCCAUGGAGUGGGGAUUGGGGAAAGGAGGGGAGGACCAGGUAGAGAACGGGUUGGAACAAGGGUGGGGCAGGGUCUGGCCGUCCUGCCAAUGUGCUGUGCCUUGGAGAGGGGAGAGGAGGGAGGAAAGUGAGGAGUGCGUGGGAAACAAACCCAGGCAGGCUCUCAGCACUGGGCAGAGGGAAACCUGGCUGCUCCUCCCACAAG
rnacentral:lncRNA from 1 species